CAGCUACUUAGAUAUAAAGGUACUCUAUGUCCCAUUCAUCAGUCCUGUGGAGAGGAUGCCAAUGUUCGAGAGAGUUUUCGUCCCUGCUCUUCGGACCCUCAUUUGGGCUUCUUUUAUGUGACAAAUAGAAGGAUUAGGGGUCACAUCAGCAAAUGAUUCUGUAUUCUUGGCAUCGCUGAGGAAGCUAAGGGCACCACCAUGAUUGACAUACAGGGAAAAAACAAAAAACUCCAAUUACUGCUUAGGAGGGAGAACUAAUUCUACCCAAAGGAGGGAAGCACCAUCUGAAGCAUGUCAAACUUGGCCUGCAACCAAAUUCUGCCAUCGGGUGGAGUCUCUCCUUCCAUCUGGGUAAUAAGAAGUUGCAGAUGGAAAAAGCCUGCUGGACUACUGCAUGUACUAUAUGCCUCUUCUGUAAGAAAUCACCUUUAAAAAGAAAAGUUUCAAAGUUUAUCCAAUUUGGAUGGAGAACGGCAUUGCAAGAUAAGUAGUGGCUUUAAAGCAUGUCCAUACUUCUUUGACACUCCUCCCAUCAACAGGGGAAGUCUACUUCUUUUCCCCUUGAGCAUGAGCUAUUCAACUGGCUUGCUGCCAACAAACAGAAUGAGGAGGAAGUGAUACUGUGUGACUUCCAAGGCUAGGUCAUAAAAAAUUAUGCAGGUCUUGAGAUGCUUACUCUUGGAAGUCAGCCACCAUGCUAUAAGGAAGCCCAAGCCACAUAAAGAAGACACAUAGGUGUUCUGGCUGACAGCCCCAGCUGAGAUCUAGCCAAGAGCCAGCAUCCAGACAUAUGAGUGAGAAAGCCACUCAGCUGCCUCCAGCCCCAGCCACUAUCUGAUGGCUAAUGCAUUACAGAUCCUGAGUAAGAACUGGCCAGUUGAGCCCAUCAACUCCCAGAACCACGAGAAGAAACAAUAAUCAACUAUUGUUGUUUUACGCCACUAAGUAUGGAUGACUGUUACACAGCAAUAGCUGGAACAAAUGCUUCUGGCUAAUUUGCCCUUUACAGUAAUCACUCCAGUCGUCUUAUCUUCCAUAGAGAAAUAGUUCUGCUUAUGCUGGAGCUAAGGGCUGGCUCCCUUCAACCAGAUUACUCUCUACAACAUAGGACAAAAAUGAAUAUAAGUGCAAUGGACUCUGUAGGCCUCAGAGCUGCUGGGUUCACCUCUUAGAGGGUAAAAGGAGAGCCAUGGUCUUAGUAAAGUCCCCAGAACAGCUAAAGUUCAGUGGCCACUGAGAAUCCUACGUAGGCACUGAAAGAACAUAAUAAGCGUAUAUGAUAUCAGCACAGUCCCCAACUUGCCCUUUGACUAGAAAAGGCCCCUCUCCUGCCAUACCAGCUAAAGGUUCAACAUCUAACUCCUUAUUUGUAUUUACUCUUCAUCUAUAAUUGCCUGGCCAACAUGGUGAAACCCUGUCUCUACAAAAAACACAAAAAUCAGUUAGGUGUGGUAGUCCGUGCCUGCAGUCCCACCUACUUGGGAGACUGAGAUGGGAGGAUGGCUUGAGUCCAGGAGGUGGAGGUUGCAGUGAACAGAGAUUGUGUCACUGCACUCUAGCCUGGGCAACAGAGCGAGACCCUGUCUUAAAAAGAAAAAAAUAGAGAAAAAUAAAAUCUCACAAUCCCCAAACUAAAGGUGAAAGCAGAGCAAGCAAGACAAAAGGGACAUAUAAUGAAGGAGGACAGUGGGUGGAAAGUGGCUGUGCAAAGCACUGACAGGGCCUCCCAACUUGUUUCCGAAGCUACAAACAGGCCCUGUUGCUCAUGAAGCCAACUCCAAUAUCCUGGAGAGGCAUUUCCCACCAGACUCCCACAACCAAACAUCUCUCAGCACACUUAGAUAGGCACCCACCACUGAGCUGGUGAUUUAUUGCAACACUCUCCCUUCACUCCUCUCUGGGGACUCUCAGAGUAGGCAUUACAUCUGCCCACUUGUCAGCUAUUUCAUUCAUGUAACAAUUAUAUCAUGCUUCAAAGAAAAAAAAAUCUUUUAUUUUAGAAAGUAUGUAAUAUGAGAUGGCCACAGAGUAACAAAUGUGUCUGGUCUAAAAAGUGAUAUUGUCAAAUAGUUUAGACUCCGCAUCCUAAGAGUUUGAUAAACCUUUAUAAAAUUAGCCAGAGAGACAUGGCAAACUCAGGGAAUGGAAGUUGCAGUUCUGGUACUAGUUGUGUGAGCAGGGACUAGAACGUGUUGAUUAAGAUCUUAUGCCUGGAUCUUCUCUCAAACUAAUGGGGUCUGGGGUUUGUAGGCCUCUAAUAAGGCAAAGAAGCAGCCAAUUAGGAAAAGAAGUGAACGAACAUCUGGGCUGUCAUUCUCCCAAAUGGUCUAACACCACUUAGCCUUAUUUAGUAAGUACUUCUCCAUCACUCCAACAAUAAGGAUGUUGCUUAUCUUGCAACAAUUUCAACAGGCUUCUUCAUACAUUCACAGACAUGUGGAAUUCCUAAAUUUGCCCCAAUCACAAAAUUGUCCCAAUCAUCUUUAGGUUGCAACUCCCUGAAGUGGAAACUCCAAUUACAUAUAACUCACAGUAUAAUUUUUUUUUGUAUUGAGACAGUCUCGCUCUGUCACCAGGCUGGAAUGCAGUGGUGCGAUCUCGGCUCACUGCAACCUCCACCUCCCGGGUUCAAGUGAUUCUCCUGCUUCAGCCUCCCGAGUAGCUGGGACUACAGGCAUGCACCACCACGCCCAGCUAAUUUUUGUAUUUUUAGUAGAGAUGGGGUUUCACUAUGGCCAGGAUGGUCUCAAUCUCUUCACCUAUGAUCCGCUCGCCUUGGCCUCCCAAAGUCCUGGGAUUACAGGCAUGAGCCACCGUGCCCGGCUGAUUCCUUUUUUUUUUUUUUUUUAAACAAACAAACAAACAUGCUGGUACUGCCUUCAAACUACCCUGAUUGCUUCUCUUUCAGACAGCUGAGGCCCAAUCUAGGCCACAAUAAUAAGAAUUGUCAGCAAGUUAAAUCAAAUAAGUAAACCAUGGGCAAAUCCACAUAGUAAAUGGACUAUGGAACAAAGAAAAUAUAUCUAUGUAUCUUCUUUCUCCCAUCCUGCUUUUUGGAACAAGUCUCUUUGCUCGGGUCACAUUAAAGCAAGAUGACCAUAUAUUUCAAUUUAUCCAGGACAGGACCCCUUUUACUUUCAAAAGACUUCUGAUGUGGAUGAUACAUUAUAGAUUACCUUACAUAAAAGCAAAUUCAAACCAGCCAAAGAGGUAAAUAGAACUUUUUGAUGCUGACUAAUGGGCCCCUCAUCCAACAGGCAUUUUAUAUCUUUCCACUUUUACUCAUGAUUGCUUCUUGAAUUAAAUAAGUGGUUCUUCCCUCCUUACCACCAGUACUUAUUUAAUCCUACUUUUCUUCAGCUCAAGCACCCCCUCCUUCUGGAAGCCUUCUAAGUGUACUCUAAUCUCCACAGGUCCCUCCUUUCUUUAAAGUUCUAGCACAUGAUUUGGUGCCUCUAUGGUCUUAACACUAUUUUCAAGUUGUUUUCAUAUGUGUAGGUCUUCCUGCAAAAGUUGUAAGUUAUUCAAGGGAAAAGCCUGUGUCUAAUCACUUCCUUUAUGUGCCUUAAAGAAUCUAACUCUAGGCCGGGUGUGGUGGCUCACACCUGUAAUCCCAGCACUUUGGGAGGCUGAGGCAGGCGGAUCAUGAGGUCAGGAGAUUGAGACCAUCCUGGCUAACAUGGUAAAACCCUGUCUCUACUAAAAAAUACAAAAAAUCAGCCAGGCAUGGUGGCACGCGCCUGUAGUCCCAGCUACUCGGGAGGCUGAGGCAGGAGAAUCACUUGAACCCAGGAGGCAGAGGUUGCAGUGAGCCAAGGUCAUGCCACUGCACUCCAGCCUGGGUGACAGAGCGAGACUCCGUCUCAAAAAAUAAAAAAUAAAAUAAAAUAAAAAAGAAUCUAACUCUAUAACAAGGGCAUACCAGAUAUUCAGUAAAUACUUUCUGAUCUCCAAACCUGCCUAACCAGCUGACUUAAGAACAUACCAGGAAAACUCCAGGUGUCUCCCCACUGCUCACUCCUCUUGCAACACCCUGUACUUUCCUCUUACAACACAUAACACAUUUUGUAAUUACCUAUUGAUUUGUGUGGCUAUUUGUUUAAGGUCAGCCUCACCAUUGUAUCGUAAGGUCCAAGAGGACAGCGACCUGGUAUGUACUGUUAUUUAUCCCUGUCUACCUAUGAUUUAUCAUAGUGCCUGGCAAUGUUCAAUAAAUAUUUGCUAACUGGAGAUGAGUGAUGGGUGGACAGACAGACAAUGGAAGAAAGAACAAAUGAUCUGAGAAAAACCAUAAAAAAAGCAGGGUUAGAUUUUAGGAACUUAAACAUUUGAGAAAUUAACCUACUUACAUUUCUAAACAAAUCAUGUGGCUAUGUGUCAUAGGCCUAUUAAAACCUUUUUCUUUUCUCAGAAAGAGCUAGAGAAUAGUGAGGUGUGCAGCCCCAUCUUAUCUAGGGUCUAAGACGUAAAUGACCAUUAUAUAUGAAUGGACCAUUAUUUCUCAUUAAUAUAUAAAUUGCUAAAGUACAAAAACCAUUGUUUCAAGAUGACAGAGGAACUUUAAUUGCUCCAGUAAAUAAGUGUGAAGGCAUUUCAAGAUUAUGCUCACAAAAGCAUUUCAUGCAUCACCUCAGCUCUGAGGCACACAGGCUCUGACAGUACAGUCUACCUUAAUUGGCCCAAAGUCAGCAACAUCAUAUGUCAUGGUGCUGACAGACAGAAACUGCUGUGGCAAAAUUGGCUGUGGCAUCCUGCUGUUUUUGCAGUUAGACCAAUAUAUACUAGAAAAUGCUGAGGAAGAUAAAUGUAAAGAAAAUCAGCAUAAUUCUGGAACCCUAGACAGCCUGCUGAUUAAUUAAAAGGCUUAACGUUUCUAUAAUGUUUUAGAAUGUAAACGGACUUUCAUAUAUUCAAUCUCAUUUAAUUCUUAUAACAAUCCCAGAAAAUACAUAAAAUAGUUACUGUUUUACUGAUAUAGAAAUUUUGGAAUCAGAAUGGUAUGAACAGCAAGUGGCCAGGAUUAAAUUCACAGGUCUGCAAACCUCAUGCUGUCUUCACUAUACUUUACACAUGAACUGUACCUCUUCAGCUCUUUACCCAAAUGAUUCUUUCCUUCUCAACAGGUGGUUGUGAAAAUCAUGCCCUGAACACAAUUUAUGGGAAAUGAAAAUUCUCUGAAGGCAUUCCCCUGUUACCAGGAAGGUUGUUUGAGAUCUGCUGUCCCCUCAGAGCUGGGGAACUUUCCAGGCCCAGGUCUCAUGUUGUCACAGUUUUCUCAAAUAAAAAAUGAAGGCACAAUAGAGCCCUACCCCCAAAUACUAUAACAAACAACAAGCCAGGUACCAAAGAACACGUGUGAUUCUGAGAACUUCCUACCAUCACUGUUGCUUCUAUCUCUCCAGCUGUCUCCUAUUACUACUGCAGUUCUGGCAAUGUCUUGAACACCCAUCCAUGAUCCUACCACCUUUCACUGUCUCCCACUCUCCCAGUGCUUUCCCCCAACUUCCCUCCUUACCAACUUAAGGUCACGGUUACUCAUUAGAUCACUUCCCUGCAGAAACCUUCGGUUCCCUUGUUCCUUCAGGCUGUGUUGAACUUUCUUAACUAAAGCCCAAGCCCCUACACAAAGAUGUGUGGAGAAGGUUCAUAGCAGCAUUAUUCCUAAUAGCCAAAAAGUAUAAAUGAUUGAAAUGUCCAUCAGUUAGUGAAGGAUUAAACAAUGGAACAGUAUUCAGCAAUAAAAACAGACAACUACUGAUAAAUGCUAUAACAUGAAUGAACCUCAAAAACAGGCUGAGUGAAAGAAGCCAGACACUAAACUCCACAUAUGAUUGCACUUAUAUGAAAUGUCCAGAAAAGGCAAUCUAUAGAAGCAGAGAAUAGAUUAGCGGGAUGCCCGGAGACGGCAGUGGGAAUGAGGUAUCUUACUGCAGUGAUAAAAAUGUUUUAAAAUUGAACUGUGGCAAUGGUUAUACAACUUGGUAACAUUAGUAAUAAUCAUUUAAUUGUAUACUUUAAAUGGAUGAACUGGAUAUGUAAACUAUACUGCAAUAAAGUUUAAAAAAAAACACCCCGGUUAAAUUUACCUGUUUUGUGCCUCACAGUGAAGCUGUAACUAUACAAAAGUGAAGAAGAGAAAAAGCAACUACAUGGCCCCGUUUAAGGCUCCAACGGAUUCUGGAUCCUGUCUUCCAAUCACACUAUAUUUCUGUAGCUUCUGUGUCUCUCGCUCUCCUCAAUUAUUUCACACCUUCUUUCUCCUCAAAUCUCUUAUCACCUCAUCCCUUAAGCUCCUUUCUCAGCUGAUAAUCC
rnacentral:lncRNA from 10 species